CGCGGGUUUACUAUUGUAAUCUAUAGUGAUUUUUCCUGUAAUUAGCCUGGUUUAGUUAUGUAAUCUUCUUGUUAGUAUUCUGUUUUCUUGAUGAAUGUGCUAAUGUGAUUUCUUCAUUGAUGAAUGCUUCGCCAUUCUGAGUUGCAUGCCCAUCUCAAGUUACAAAGGCAGGCAACAUAUAACCCUGCUCCUCCAGUGUGCAUUGGCAGCAAGAAAGAAAGUAGGUUUCUAGCGAGCUAUUUUCAUGUUAGUUGUGUUUCCUUUUUGUUUUUUAAGUUGUCUGCCAUUGUAAUUUAUGUUGCUUGCCAGUGUAUUCCAUUUCCAUUUACUGUAGGCCUGCCUUUGAAAUUUUAGUUGAUCGCCUCCAUAAUUUAUGUUGCUUGUGAGUGUAUAUUUUCUCUUACUGUUUAUAUUCAGUGAUAGUAGCGUAAGCAGUUUAGUGUAUUCUUUUUGUCUACUAAAAUGCAACUUGAUUCUAGAACAAUAGGAACUACCCAUGAAAUAAUUUCAUUUGUAAAAUGUAAUAAGCCCGAAUGCAGUAAAGCGUGGACUAUGCAUGCCUGAAUUUUUUACAAGAUUUUCGAUAGUAAUUGUCUUACAGAACUACAGUAUUUUUUUCAACCAUAGUUCUUGGUGUCUUUUCCAGUCUAGUCUUUCAAGUUUUGUACUGUUUAUUUUGGACAUUCGUACAGUGCCUAUGUUUCUGAAUUACAUUGUAAUCUAACUUGUAAUUAACAAGCCAGGAUGCCGUAAAUAUUAUAGUCACAGUAAUUGCAAAGAGAAGCUCACAGCAAGUUGAUCGAGAAGUCACGGUAAUUUGAGCUCUUGUAUAGUGCCAAAGUUUCUGAAAUUCUGUCUUUUGUUCCUUGAAUUUUUGUUUGAUCAUUUCCCAAUUGAUUUAUAUGAACAUCUUUCCCCCCUUAGUCUCUUGACCCUACACUGUGUUGCUUGGUUCUUCUAUCUUUUCUGUAGCAUCUAAGAAGAUUUCCAUAGUUCGAACGCCAAUUAGUAUCAGUGCAUAGCCUGAUUUUUUCAGUCUAUUUUGUGAACAUUAGUUUCAGUGUGAACUUCUUUGUAAUUUCAAUUAAACUUCACAGUAAUUCAAACUUCAAGUCACAGGAAUUUGUAACAGUGAGUUUCUGGAAUACAGUUUUUUGUUCCUAGACUUUUUGUUUGAGCAUUUUCACAGUUGAUCCACAACUUUCUGAUCAUGUUUUCUUCUUGAUCUGACUAGUUUUCUGCCUGUGCAACUAUUCUCUCUCCUUCCUCCAUCCUCUUCCUCUUUCUUAUCUGAUCAUAAAUCACACAUUGUUUCUGGUUUCUCUUUAUUUUUACUGAAGUUCCAAUAUCUUUGUUGUAAUUUGGCUGUAGUGACUGUAAUUUUAGUAAAAUGAGCAUUGUAAAUUCAUCGAAACUGAAUAUGUGAUACGCUAUAGAGGUUCACUGUAAAUUUCAACUGAAGCCAUUGUAAAUACAAAAGUAGCUGCAAUUUAAAGUGUAACUGUAAAGCUUAAUGAUGAUGAAAUUUUCAGUAUGUGAUGAUUAAUUUACAGUAGCUUGUUGAUAAAUUUACAGCAGCCACAUGAUGAAUUUGCUGGUCUUUUGAUGAAUUUACAGUAUUUGUUGAUCAUUUUACAGCAGGUUGAUGAUGAUUUUACAGCAGCCUAAUGAUGAAUUUACAGUAUGUUUGUGUUCAGGAGUUUCUUCCACAAGUAUCAACUUGAGAUCUUUGAUGAUGCCAUGAGAAUUUCGUGUUCUCUUCCAAAAGUGUGUGAAGAAGAACAAAAAUGUCAAUAAUCUAGAGAAGGUUGUGAGUAGUGACCUGGCAGUGUUGCUUUUUGGGCCCUUGCGUUGCUUACUCAUGGAUAGAGCGCACAGGUCAUACAAACAUGUGUCACAUUUGUAGUGCCUGAUAAAAUUGAUUGAAUGUCUCUUUAUUUUCAGUCAAAGUUUUUGCCCGUUGGACAUGUGACAUACAUACAGAUAGGUGUCAGAUUGUUACUGGUUGGCAUAUUUGAUUGAAGGCCAGUUCAAUUUCAGUGAAUUGUAAUAUAGACACUCGUUUUUUUUAACUUAAUAUAUAGCUGGAACACUGCUUACGCUCUGACGUUAGCAAAAUAACCAGACUAAACAAUAGGACAGGGAACAGAAUGUACAGGGGCGCUUCAAAGAUUUGUUCC
rnacentral:lncRNA from 1 species